rnacentral:guide_RNA from 1 species
ACGACACAAUAGAGAAAGAUACUCUGAGAGAUGUAAUAU